rnacentral:rRNA from 1 species
AUACGGAGGGUGCGAGCGUUAAUCGGAAUUACUGGGCGUAAAGCGCGCGUAGGCGGCAUGGUAAGUCGGAUGUGAAAGCCCCGGGCUCAACCUGGGAAUUGCAUUCGAUACUGCCAAGCUAGAGUCUGGUAGAGGGUAGCGGAAUUCCGGGUGUAGCGGUGAAAUGCGUAGAUAUCCGGAGGAACACCAGUGGCGAAGGCGGCUUUCUGGACCAAUACUGACGCUGAGGUGCGAAAGCGUGGGGAGCAAACAGGAUUAGAUACCCCGGUAGUCC